CUGAGGCAGCUCACUCUACUUUGUUCAGUCUCUUCUCUCCCCACUGGAGCCCCUUCAGUGGCCUCAGAGAACAUCCUGUACCCUGCUGAGAGAUCCACUCACAGGAGGACACAGCAGCUGGAGUGACAACGUGCAUGGUCCUUCAAUCUGGGCAAGGAGACUGAGAAUUAAGUAAACAGCCUUGUCUCUCUAAUAUCCUGGGACCAACACUGCUACAGCAACACUGCAUACAAGCUGGAAAAGAGGUGAGACCAGGAGAUGCAGCAUCUAAAAGAAACAAGAAUCACCCGUCACUGAAAGUAGGAGGACUUUCAAAUAUGUCUAAGAGAACCAGCAUGUGAAAGUGUGAGGAAAUCAUGAGGUAUGGCUCCCCCUUAUGUACUGGAAUGUGAUUGUAGCAGAGAAGUCACACAAAGCUCAUCAAAGCCAGAAGAUUGUUCUCAUCAGAAGGAUGGCCUAGUAAAUAGAGCAUUGGACAUAGAUGUAGGAGACCUGGAUUCAGGUCAUGAGUCAGCCAUAAACUUCCUGUGUGACCUUGGGCAAAUCACUGAAUCUACCCUGUACCAAAAUAAAAUAGGAAUAUUUUCCUACCUCAAAAGGUAUUAAAAGGAGGAAAUCUAUUAAUGAUUGUGAGGUUCUCAGAUACUACGGUGAUGAGGGCCAUAUGAGUACCUAGACAGGACAGAACAUCUCAUAAGACUCACAUGCCAUUGGAUCAACAACCUGCUGCACUAUUUUCCUUUCUGCCCUUUCACAUGUGGGUGUUCUAGCUCAGUGGCUCUCAACCUUCCCGGACUACUGUAGCCCUUUCAGGAGUCUGAUUUGUCUUGCGUACCCCAAGUUUCACCUCACUUAAACUACAUGCUUACAAAAUCAGACAGAAAAACACAAAAGUGUCACAGCACACGCUUUCUCAUUUUUACCAUAUAAUUAUAAAAUAAAUCAGUUUGAAUGUAAAUAUUGUACUUACCUUUCAGUGUAUAGUAUGUAGAGCAGUAUAAACAAGUCAUUGUCUGUAUGAAAUUUUAGUCUGUACUGACUUCACUAGUGCUUUUUAUGUAGCCUGUUGUAAAACUAGGCAAAUAUCUAGAUGAGCUGAUAUACCCCCUGGAAGACCUCUGAGUAUCCCAUGAGUACAAUUACCUCUGGUUGAGAACCACGAUUUAACUUAGCCAAAUCUUCUGAGCAGUUAUAGUUAUCUAAACCAGAGCUGGAAACCAGGCUCUUUGGGGUUCAAAGGAAUGGCAUAAGAGGGAUAGCUUCAGAUCAAGCUAAUCAAAUUUGAACCCACUCCCCAUUUAAAAAAAAUAUUUGCAUUCAAGGUUUUGAUUUUGCACAUCUCUGCUAUGGUAUGUGUGGCUGUUACAAAAUAAGGGCAUUUUCAUAACAGUGUGAUGAAAUUUGAUGUCAAAAUCAGUUACAUGCAGAAAUCUAUGCAUACCAAAAUGAGGAUAUUUUUCUCUGUGUUACAAUGCACAUUUAAGGCUUUGACUUCAAGUCAUCUCAGGCAGAAGGAUUGACAUUUACAAGGGAGCUGUAGCUAGGUUGUCCUGAUCAGCUGCAAAGAGCAACGAAAAAAAUGUGAUAAAUAACCAAUGACAGGUAGUGUUAAAAUAUAAACUCUGCUUCCCAACCAAUACACAUAUGGGCAUAAUGUCCAUCUUCUUAACAGAUAUAUUUACUAUUCUACAAACAAUUCAUUGACUUUGAUUAUGCUUGUGAUCAUCUUUUCAGUUGCAGUGGGGACAUGUGUUAGGAGAAGCACACCAUUCCCUGAUCUUUCUUUUGAGCUGUCUUCAGAGAGUUUUCUGCUUGUGUUUGAGUCCUUUCAGCAGCCAAGACAGAUGGUGUCUGUCCGCACUCUCUGCCCAGAAUAUGAGACUCUUUGCUGCACGCCCAGUGACUUCCUACUGGUGAUCAACGAAUAAAACUGCCCUUGUACUUCAGGCUACCCAGGAUGAGACGACAACAGUCUGCAGAGCAGGCUGUCUGAAUAGGAAAAGUGAAGGGUGAAAGGAGACGCAGAAUGGAUUGUCUAUCCUAAUGGCCUCAUGAGAAAUCCCGGGAAGCGCUGGGAGUGAGGGGGAGGAGGCAGAGAAGAGGAACUUGUGCAAUGCUCCCUUGCAAAGUUGCUGCUCUUCCACAAAAUCUUACAUGCAGUGGACAGAGCAGGCAGCCAAACGACGUUAUAAGGGAGCAUUGCACAACUUUAAACGAGCGUGCCUCUAAUUGAGCAGCGACAUAACUUUGAAACAACGUUAAGUGGGAGGACGUUAAGUGAGGAGUUACUAUAUAAGGGAAAAAAAAUGUUUUCUCUUGGUGUUUUUUCCAUGGCACCAUCACUGCAUCACCACAGGGGAGUGACAUUGACUGGUGCUGCUGCAGGAGGUGGGGAUUUCUAGGCGCAGGGAAGUCACGGCCUGGCAAGCAGCCACCCCGCACAAACUCUGCUUGAGUUAGCAAUAAUCUAUCUUGUUUUUCAGCAGCCAGUAAUCAGGAAAUAUUCCUUCAUGCUUAUGCUGAACAAGCACCUGCCAUCCAAAAUGGGUCAUCUGUAGUGUGGGCAAAGUUCUCAUAUUUGAUAUAGGUUAGCUCAUUUUGAGAAAAAAGUUGGUUUCCAGGACACAGUACAGGAGCAGACGAGGGGAGCACAAAGUUGCAGCACACCAGCAGCAGUGGUCAGAGGCUUUCUAGGAGAGCAGCUUUAGGGGCCUUUCUUACAGCCCCUUUUGGAGUGCUGACAGCAUACACUCCCCCAGCUCUGGCCUUGGACUGUCAGCUAAAACACUGCAUGGCAGGGAGGGAGACAUGCUCCCACUCCAUACAGCUACUUCCCCUUAGGGGCAUAGAGUGCUAGGGAGGGUACUCUGAUCCCCUUCACAAUGUGUUUGUGCAGAACAAAGCACUGGGUUUCUGCACAAGAGGAAAGGCUCACAGCCCACUUUCCCACCUUGGGCACUUGUCUACAACUGCCACACUCGUGAGGUCCAAGAUACAAUAAAGACAGAGCACCUGUCAUUCAGAGGUGCCGUAGACAGUCCCUGGACUUUAUGAGAACUGAAGUUCAGAAACAUGCUCAUUUUUUCCUGGAGGCUGAAAAGGUUUCCUGUUUGUUCUAAGACAAGUCUAGCUGCUUUGGGAGCGGGAGGGGGCACUUUCUGUGCUACUUCGCCACCUGUGUGCAACCACAGUAAAGUCAAUGGAGCUGCACAGAAUGCAAGUCAGUGCAGAUUUAAUCACACCGAGCUCUGGAACCAAUGUCUGUUUGCAGACUUCAGAUAGUUGUAUUAAUCUACUGAGAAUACAGGGAAGAGAGGAAAUUGCUCUGCUGUGACAUACCUGUAUGCAAAUGUAAGAAUCUGCUACCAGAGAGACUGCAAUGACAUUUUCACACUCAGGUAGGUCUACACUGAAAAAAAAACAAACAAAAAAGUCCCACUAUAGCAAGUUCCAGAGCCCAGGCCAACUGACUCAGGCUUGUGCAUUUGGGCUAAAAAUAGAGUGGACAUUCCUGCUGGGUUUCAGAGCGCAGUAUCCUCCCCAAACCCAACCAUCUACACUGCUAUAUGUAGGCCCAAAGUGCAAUCCCACGUCAGCUAACCUGGGCUCUAAGAUUUUCUUCCAUGAGUUGUUUGGGUUUUUUUUUAAAUAAAGAAACACAGCAUAGACAUACCUGGGUCUCUGGCUUACAAGUAUUUGUCAGUUUCACUGAGGACCCCUUUUAAGUGAUGGGUAAUGCUGCUGAGUUACUCUGCAUUUUACAGGUUUCAGAGUAGCAGCCAUGUUAGUCUGUAUCCGCAAAAAGAAAAGGAGGACUUGUGGCACCUUAGAGACCACAAGUCCUCCUUUUCUUUCUGCAUUUUACAGAGGUUCUCAGACUUUUUGUAUCAGCAACCCCUUUCAGACAGCAAGCUUCUGAGUGCGACCCUCCUCCCCUUAUAAAUUAAAAACACCUUUUUAUAUUUAACAUUAUUUUAAAUGAUACAUUUAUAACUGUACAAGUUAAAAUGAAUUUACCUUUUCUCACUGCUUUUAAAUUAAGACUAAAACAUAUUUUUAUCAAAUUAAAAAAUAACUUUUCUGCUUA